rnacentral:misc_RNA from 1 species
GAUGAAGAACGUAGCGAAAUGCGAUAAUUAAUGUGAAUUGCAGAAUUCCGUGAAUCAUCGAGUCUUUGAACGCACAUUGCGCCUCAUGGCAUUCCGUGAGGCAUGCCCAUCUCAGCGUUAGAAAAUAUUCUCAAAUUUUAGUUUUGUGCUAAAAUUUGGAUCAUGUCAAGGAAGCUAUUACUAUUAUUGUGAUCGCUCUUUGGAAAUUGAUAGGUCUUUGAGUUGCUACUCAUAGAACGUGAUGAAUCUUUCUUCGUUCUAUUGUAAUUCACUCUUGUAGUCCUAAAACUUGUAUGCCUGUGGCAUAUCUUGUAAUUUGACCUGAGAUUGGGUAGGGAUACCCGCUGAACUUAAGCAUAUCAAUAAGCGGAGGA